rnacentral:tRNA from 4 species
GCCGUCCUAGCUCAAUGGCAGAGCAUUUGUUUUGUAAACAAAAGGUUCCGAGUUCGAGCCUCGGGGACGGCU